CUCAGUUUGCUUUGUGCCACGAGUAACUGAAAAUCAAGGGCCGCGAUAAUUCAUUUGUUUUAGCUGAGAAUCUUUGAAGAACAGGAUGAAUUAAAUGUACUGA